rnacentral:rRNA from 1 species
GACGUAGGAUGCGAGCGUUGUUCGGAUUUAUUGGGCGUAAAGCGUGCGUAGGCGGCUAUUUAAGUCUGGUGUUAAAGCUAGGGGCUCAACCCCUGUGAUGCACUGGAAACUGGGUAGCUUGAGUGUGGUAGGGGAAGGUGGAAUUCCCAGUGUAGCGGUGAAAUGCGUAGAUAUUGGGAAGAACACCGGUGGCGAAGGCGACCUUCUGGGCCACUACUGACGCUGAGGCACGAAAGCGUGGGGAGCAAACAGG